CCUACGGGGGGCAGCAGUAGGGAAUAUUGCUCAAUGGGGGAAACCCUGAAGCAGCAACGCCGCGUGGAGGAUGAAGGUUUUCGGAUUGUAAACUCCUUUUGUUAGAGAAGAUAAUGACGGUAUCUAACGAAUAAGCACCGGCUAACUCCGUGCCAGCAGCCGCGGUAAUACGGAGGGUGCAAGCGUUACUCGGAAUCACUGGGCGGAAAGAGCGCGGAGGCGGGAUAGCAAGUCAGAUGUGAAAUCCUAUGGCUUAACCAUAGAACUGCAUUUGAAACUGUUAUUCUAGAGUAUGGGAGAGGUAGGUGGAAUUCUUGGUGUAGGGGUAAAAUCCGUAGAGAUAAAGAGGAAUACUCAUUGCGAAGGCGACCUGCUAGAACAUAACUGACGCUGAUGCGCGAAAGCGUGGGGAGCAAACAGGAUUAGAUACCCGAGUAGUC
rnacentral:rRNA from 1 species